rnacentral:rRNA from 1 species
UACGUAGGGUGCGAGCGUUGUCCGGAAUUAUUGGGCGUAAAGAGCUCGUAGGCGGUGUGUUACGUCGGCCGUGAAAACCUGCAGCUUAACUGUGGGCGUGCGGUCGAUACGGGCAUCACUGGAGUUCGGCAGGGGAGACUGGAAUUCCUGGUGUAGCGGUGAAAUGCGCAGAUAUCAGGAGGAACACCGGUGGCGAAGGCGGGUCUCUGGGCCGAUACUGACGCGGAGGAGCGAAAGCGUGGGGAGCGAACAGG